rnacentral:rRNA from 1 species
AUUGAACGCUGGCGGCAUGCUUUACACAUGCAAGUCGAACGGUAACAGGCCGCAAGGUGCUGACGAGUGGCGAACGGGUGAGUAAUGCAUCGGAACGUGCCCAGUCGUGGGGGAUAACUACUCGAAGGAGUAGCUAAUACCGCAUACGAUCUAUGGAUGAAAGCGGGGGACCGUAAGGCCUCGCGCGAUUGGAGCGGCCGAUGUCAGAUUAGGUAGUUGGUGGGGUAAAGGCUCACCAAGCCAACGAUCUGUAGCUGGUCUGAGAGGACGACCAGCCACACUGGGACUGAGACACGGCCCAGACUCCUACGGGAGGCAGCAGUGGGGAAUUUUGGACAAUGGGCGCAAGCCUGAUCCAGCAAUGCCGCGUGCAGGAAGAAGGCCUUCGGGUUGUAAACUGCUUUUGUACGGAACGAAACGGCUCUGGUUAAUACCCGGGGCUAAUGACGGUACCGGAAGAAUAAGCACCGGCUAACUACGUG